AGUGAACGCUGGCGGUAGGCCUAACACAUGCAAGUCGAACGGCAGCACAGGAGAGCUUGCUCUCUGGGUGGCGAGUGGCGGACGGGUGAGGAAUACAUCGGAAUCUACUCUGUCGUGGGGGAUAACGUAGGGAAACUUACGCUAAUACCGCAUACGACCUACGGGUGAAAGCAGGGGAUCUUCGGACCUCGCGCGAUUGAAUGAGCCGAUGUCGGAUUAGCUAGUUGGCGGGGGAAAGGCCCACCAAGGCGACGAUCCGUAGCUGGUCUGCGAGGAUGAUCAGCCACACUGGAACUGGAACACGGUCCAGACUCCGACGGGAGGCAGCAGUGGGGAAUAUUGGACAAUGGGCGCAAGCCUGAUCCAGCCAUACCGCGUGGGUGAAGAAGGCCUUCGGGUUGUAAAGCCCUUCUGUUGGGAAAGAAAUCCAGCUGGCUAAUACCCGGUUGGGAUGACGGUACCCAAAGAAUAAGCACCGGCUAACUUCGUGCCAGCAGCCGCCGUAA
rnacentral:rRNA from 1 species